rnacentral:rRNA from 1 species
AACGAACGCUGGCGGCAUGCCUAACACAUGCAAGUCGAACGAGACCUUCGGGUCUAGUGGCGCACGGGUGCGUAACGCGUGGGAACCUGCCCUUAGGUUCGGAAUAACUCCCCGAAAGGGGUGCUAAUACCGGAUAAUGUCUUCGGACCAAAGAUUUAUCGCCUUUGGAUGGGCCCGCGUUGGAUUAGCUAGUUGGUAGGGUAAAAGCCUACCAAGGCGACGAUCCAUAGCUGGUCUGAGAGGAUGAUCAGCCACACUGGGACUGAGACACGGCCCAGACUGCUACGGGAGGCAGCAGUGGGGAAUAUUGGACAAUGGGCGAAAGCCUGAUCCAGCAAUGCCGCGUGAGUGAUGAAGGCCUUAGGGUUGUAAAGCUCUUUUACCCGAGAUGAUAAUGACAGUACCGGGAGAAUAAGCUCCGGCUAACUCCGU